GCGGAUGUGGCGGAAUUGGUAGACGCGCACGGUUCAGGUCCGUGUGGAGGCAACUCCGUGGAGGUUCGAGUCCUCUCAUCCGCACCA
rnacentral:tRNA from 1 species